CAGAUCAUGUGACACUUAGAUUGCACACAGGUGGACUUUAUUUAACUAAUUAUGUGACUGAAGGUAAUUGGUUGCACCAGAUCUUAUUUAGGGGCUUCAUAGUAAAGAAUACAUAUGCACACACACCACUUUUCCGUUAUUUAGAUAUUUUUGAAACAAGUUUUUUAUUUUAUUUCACUUUACCAAUUUGGACUAUUUUCUUUGUUUGUCCAUUACAUGAAAUCCAAAUAAAAAUCCAUUUAAAUUACAGGUUGUAAAGCAACAAAAUAGGAAAAACGCCAAGGGGGAUGAAAUACUAUUGUCAGGCACUGUAUUUUCUCACACGUUUGCUGUGCCCCAAAUGGCGUGCAAUCCCCUACAUAGUGCAUUCUCUUUGGCAAGGGCCCACAGAAGUAGUGCACUACAUAGGGAAUGGGAUGCCUAGUCUCUCCACACAGCCUCUGUAUGUCCGGCAAGCCGGACUAUAGCUCACAGGAUGAAAUCACAAACAAUUUACCCAAACCUAUUUUAGUUAUAGCAUUAUUUCAUUUCAUGUUAGAAACUACGUGUCCUUUUUCAUAACUCCCUGUUGAUGCAUUCAUUAACCAAACCAUACAAUAUUAAUAACCAUAACGAGAGAGAGAGACUCGAUAACAACCUGGAUGUAUGUAAUAGUUUUACUAUUACAGAGGUUUCUAUACACUGAGCAGGGCCAUAGACAUGGGUUACAGUCCAGAUCACAUCCUGAUAUAUUCCCUAGGGACUGAGCAGGGCCAUAGACAUGGGUUACAGUCCAGAUCACAUCCUGAUAUAUUCCCUAGGGACUGAGCAGGGCCAUAGACAUGGGUUACAGUCCAAAUGGCAUCCUGAUAUAUUCCCUAGGGACUGAGCAGGGCCAUAGACAUGGGUUACAGUCCAGAUCACAUCCUGAUAUAUUCCCUGUAUAGUCAGAAGGAGUGGACUGUGUAGGGAAUAGGGACUGUGUAGGGAAUAGGGACUGUGUAGGGAAUAGGGACUGUGUAGGGAAUAGGGACUGUAUAGGGAAUAGGGACUGUGUAGGGAAUAGGGACUGUGUAGGGAAUAGGGACUGUGUAGGGAAUAGGGACUGUAUAGGGAAUAGGGACUGUGUAGGGAAUAUAUAACAUAAAACACUGGCUAACCACUGGUGUGGGGUUAAGACUCAGUGGAAAUGCAUCACCAUAGUACUAGACUAGUACUCAUAUUUAGUCAGUACUGCUGUAGUACUCUUAUACAGUACAGUUUAAGUCAGUACUGCUAUAGUACUCUUAUACAGUACAGUUUAAGUCAGUACUGCUAUAGUACUCUUAUACAGUACAGUUUAAGUCAGUACUGCUAUAGUACUCUUAUACAGUACAGUUUAAGUCAGUACUGCUAUAGUACUCUUAUACAGUACAGUUUAAGUCAGUACUGCUGUAGUACUCUUGUACAGUGCAGUUUAAGUCAGUACUGCUAUAGUACUCUUAUACAGUACAGUUUAAGUCAGUUCUGCUAUAGUACUCUCAUACAGUACAGUUAAAGUCAGUACUGCUAUAGUACUCUUAUACAGUACAGUUUUAAUGUGCAAUUAGCUGUAGCCCCUAACAUGGCGAUCAAUAAUCAAUAAUAUUACGAAGUUGGAUAAAAUAUUGAUCAUAUUUAUAAUUCGCAUUGACAUUGAUAAAUGGUGCUGGACUGUAAUUAAGGUUAUGAGGUACACUAGUGACUUUACAUUGAGCCCUGGUGAUGGGAGUCUGGUGGCAGAGUUAUGAGGUACACUAGUGACUUUACAUUGAGCCCUGGUGAUGGGAGUCUGGUGGCAGAGUUAUCAGGUACACUAGUGACUUUACAUUGAGCCCUGGUGAUGGGAGUCUGGUGGCAGAGUUAUCAGGUACGCUAGUGACUCAGCUCGUCUGUUGAACACUACAGGGGGAAACAAUGAGCUCUGGAAGGGUUACACUGCAGGCGAUUCCCUGAAUAUUUUCACUAACAUCUACCAUGCUUUUCAUCUACCAUGUUAGACUUUGGUUUUUGUUCUUGAAUUAUCUGGUGUCAGGAGAGAAAGAAAGAGUACAGAUGUAGGAUCUUAAUUUGAGCCAGUUUGCUGCAGCAGGAAAAUAAUCCCGCAGCAACGGGAAAUGUCAAUAGUUUUUUUGUGGAUUAUAAUUAAUAUACUUUUUUUGUAAGGGUUGAUAGAUUUUUAAUUAUGGUAAAUCAAGUCUGACAUUUUUAAGGGGAAAUUACAAACUUUAUAUCCCUUUUAUUUAUUUUUUUUACCCUGAAUGCAAUACAAGUUUGCAUUUCCUGCUGUGCAAGAAAUUCCUGCAGCUGGAUGAUCAAAUUAUGAUAUGGCAUCUGUAGUCGAAUGACAAUUCAGGUGGUUGACUUCAAUUGCAAAAUCAAUGCACUGUAUGUUGAAGCAGUAAGGUAUGAUCUGAAUAUGACUGUGUGGUACUAAGGCUAGGCUAAUCCCUCUGCAGUUCUAUAUGACUGUGUGGUACUAAGGCUAGGCUAAUCCCUCUGCAGUUCUAUAU
ensembl:lncRNA